rnacentral:rRNA from 1 species
GACGAACGCUGGCGGCGUGCCUAAUACAUGCAAUUCGAACGCAGUGGGGACGGUUGAGUAACACGUGGGUAACCUCCCAUCAGCGGGGAUAACCCUUGGAAACAAGUGCUAAACCGAUACUGAUGUAUGGCCCCGCGGUGCAUUAGCUAGUUGGUGAGGUAACGGCUCACCAAGGCCACGAUGAAUAGCCGGUCUGAGAGGGUGAGCGGCCACACUGGGACUGAGACACGGCGCAGACUCCUACGGGAGGCAGAAGUGGGGAAUGUUGGGCAAUGGGGGAAAGCCUGAUCCAGCCAUGCCGCGUGUGUGAAGAAGGCCUUCGGGUUGUAAAGCACUUUUGGCAGGGAAGCGGUACCUGCAGAAUAAGCACCGGCUAACUACGUGCCAGCAGCCGCGGUAAUUC